AGCAAAUAUAUUAUUCCAUGCUGGGAGCCAUUAGCCAAGUAGGUAUGACAAUUUCCUUGCCAGCAUACCCCAUGUUGCUUAGUGGAAGGACUCGUGGAAAUAGAACAUUUUGCAGUGACAUUGCAUGUAGGUGACCUUGCUCAAGGACCAAGGCGGAUCCGGUUUAGGGCGUUCCCGGUUUAGGACUAUCCGGGUUUAGGGUGGUUCCAGGUUUAAGAUUAUUCCUGCUGGGAAUAGGGCGUAUCCUGCUGCCUGAGUUCCCCUUGAGUUCUCACGGGAUUCAGACAGUAUUUUUUGGGAGACAGAAGCCCAGUGGGGGUGGAUUUGGGCAGAGAACGUGGAUUUCCCCAGAACGUGAUUGUAGACGGCUGGUGUGAGUUCGGGAAUAAAGAGUUGCUGUUUGAAUCUACAA